GAUGAACGCUAGCUACAGGCUUAACACAUGCAAGUCGCGGGGUAACAUCUGGUAGAGCUUGCUCUUCCAGGAUGACGACCGGCGCACGGGUGAGUAACGCGUAUCCAACCUGGCCCAUACCACGGGAUAGCCCGUCGAAAGGCGGAUUAAUACCGUAUGCUGUCAUUAAGAUGCAUAUAUUGAUGACGAAAGGACUGGCGGUAUGGGAUGGGGAUGCGUCUGAUUAGCUUGUUGGCGGGGUAACGGCCCACCAAGGCGACGAUCAGUAGGGGUUCUGAGAGGAAGGUCCCCCACAUUGGAACUGAGACACGGUCCAAACUCCUACGGGAGGCAGCAGUGAGGAAUAUUGGUCAAUGGGCGCAAGCCUGAACCAGCCAAGUAGCGUGAGGGAAGACUGCCCUACGGGUUGUAAACCUCUUUUGUUUGGGAAUAAAGUGCGGGACGUGUCCCGCAUUGCAUGUACCAUUUGAAUAAGGACCGGCUAAUUCCGUGCCAGCAGCCG
rnacentral:rRNA from 1 species